GGGCCCGCACAAGCAGCGGAGCGUGUGGUUUAAUUCGAGGCUACACGAAGAACCUUACCUGGGCUUGACAUGGUGGUGGUAGGGAAGCGAAAGCGGACCGACCUUCGGGAGCCAUCACAGGUGCUGCAUGGCUGUCGUCAGCUCGUGUCGUGAGAUGUUCGGUUAAGUCCGGUAACGAGCGCAACCCUUGCCGUUAGUUACAAGUGUCUAGCGGGACUGCCCGUAGAAAGCGGGAGGAAGGUGGGGAUGACGUCAAGUCAGCAUGGCCUUAAUGUCCAGGGCUACACACACGCUACAAUGGCCGGUCCAAUGGGUCGCCAACCCGCGAGGGGGAGCCAAUCCAGGAAAGCCGGUCGUAGUUCGGAUUGCAGGCUGCAACCCGCCUGCAUGAAGUCGGAGUUGCUAGUAAACGCCGGUCAGCCAUACGGCGUUGAAUACGUUCCCGGGCCUU
rnacentral:rRNA from 1 species